UGUGUAUCUAUGGUCGGCACGUCUGGCAGCAUCUCUGGCUGCUGUUGAUCUUGUUUUUGGAGUAAAACACGGUGGAAGCUGAAUUAGUGAGGAUGACUCCUGCUCCUGUCAUCUCUAAGCUCCUCACACAUCUUUACCUGCACAUGAGGAAAAUCACUCCUGUAGAAUGCAGAUGUUCAGAGGGAGAUGAUGCCACAUCUGGUCCAGCAGAUGGAAGGUCUUGAAGUUCUCUGACUGGCCUCGACUGAAGAUGGUCGUCUCACUGGAUUUAAGGUUCAGAUUCUCAGUAACAAACUCCACCAAUGUGCCAACAGGGAAGCUUUAGGUUUAUUAAAUGUUGCUAUGAAGGUAUCGCUGUUUUUCUUUGUGAAUGCAAUGUGCUCCAACUGAAACUUGAAUUAGAACUUAGAAGUAAAUCCUUCCAUCUGAAAGGAUUUAGUUGCAUUAAUAACCUCAUAACAUUCUAAUUUUUAUUCCAGUCUUGGUUGGAAAUAGAAUCUGUAUUGAUUCAGGUAAAAACUGAACUUCACAGCAUGUUGAAGCAAAUUUACACUGUUUAUUCACCAACACUUUAUUUAAUAAAAGUCCCAUCUAGUUUUUUUAUGAGGAAUGUGAUGUUUUAAUUUCUCUGUGAAUAACUGCAGUCUAAUGCAACAGCUGGAGUUGUAACAUCUGUCCUGAUGUUGAUCAUGAAGUAUUGAUCAGAAUACUUAUGGUUAGCAGUCAUCCCUGAAGUUUUACAUUAAAAUCUUUACUUGUGUUGUGAACUUUGGUAAGAAGCAGAAACGUUAGCGUUGCCAUGGAUACAUGAGUGUUAAAUUCUGUCCAUGUUUCCAUUUUGGGAAAUGCAGUCCAGUUCCAGAAUGUGGAGGAAUUUAGUCUCACAAUCACAGACAACAAAUAUUAUCUGAAAGUCGGGUUAUUGUUGUUUAUCAGCACAAUACAAAAAGAUUAAUAUAAGAAAUAUUCCAGUUAAGAGUCUAGAAUAUCAUGAUUUAUGUAAAUUUACCUCAAUAAUAUGAAUGUUCAGGUUAAGAUUGUGCAGUGAUAUUUAUUAUGUAAGUUUAGCUGAUUAAAGUUUAUGACUCUGCACUAAAAUAUUAUUUAAAUUGACAUCAUUAUUAUAAUAUUUAGGGUCAGACCCUACAGUAUUGAGAUUAAGAAAUCAAAUAUUCUAUAAAAUGUAAAUACGCUGAACUCAUUUGGAUAUAUUUAAAUGAGACUCUACAAUAUUAUUUGACACAAAUCUAUCUACAUCAAAAUUUUUAUAAUUUUCACGCCAAGCAUUUACUGGACUAAUUUAAAUAUUAAAAUCACUCCUUUCUAAUCUUCUGCUGUACGUUCAAACCUGAGGCCUUAAAUAGAAACACACAAGUAUCUGUUUGAAGGAAUUUCUGCAGAGUCCUGGUUCCAGAACAUGAUGAUAGAAUUAUAGACAAACUUUAACAAAAGCUGCCUGAGAGUUUACAGGUUUUUAUGCUGGAUUUCUUCAGUAAUUUAAUGAGCGUUAUCAGCAAUAAUCAAGUGUUCAUUUGAUGAACUUCAUUUCCUAAAACAUCCAGAAUUGGAGCUCAUAUCUUUGGCAGCUGUAAAGUUUCUGCUCCUUCAAAGUUCACAACACAAUGAAUGAAUUCCUAAAACACUCUCAAUGCUGGAGAGCGUUUGUGAUGCUGAAGCAGUGAUCAGUUUUUCUGUUUCUUCUCUGGAGAUGCACAACGAGGGACGUCUGCAGAGACUGAGAAAGAGUCUCACCACAUCCUGACAUGAGGAAAAAGACUUUAUUGAAGACUACAAUGAGAAAAACUAUCAGACAGCAGACGGCUGCAUUCAAGGUGAGCUCUGAACAUUUGAUCUGGAACAGGAAUUCAGUAACGGCAGCAUGAGCUUCAUUUCAGUCUGUAGCUGCUGAAUUCAUGGAUGAAUCAUCUGGCACUAGAGAAGAAGACCAUCAAACAUCCACGUCAGCUGAUGGAGGUCCAAGAGUCUCACCAAACAACCUACAGAGUGAAGACCUCAAAUCUGAUUGGACGGCCUCCUAUUCAGCCACAUGUGUGAACAAAUGCCUCUAAGUUGAUUUGUUUUCUAAAAUAAAUCUACUUUGAGUCCUAAUCUA